CCUACAUGAAGCUGGAAUCGCUAGUAAUCGCGGAUCAGCAUGCCGCGGUGAAUACGUUCCCGGGCCUUGUACACACCGCCCGUCACACCACGAGAGUUUGUAACACCCGAAGUCGGUGAGGUAACCUGGGACAAAACUUAGCAUCUUAUAUUCUAUAUAGGAAGUUAAGUUUUGUCCUAGGAGCCAGCCGCCUAAGGUGGGACAGAUGAUUGGGGUGAAGUCGUAACAAGGUAGCCGUAUCGGAAGGUGCGGCUGGAUCACCUCCUUUCUAAGGAA
rnacentral:rRNA from 1 species